UCGAACCUGUUGGAAAUAACGCUGCAGCCUCGGGAGGUGCGAGAGUUUACCUUUUUCGGGGAGGACUGCUGCUGCUGAAUUUUUAUUAGGCUGCACUCGGGGAUGCGCGUGUUUGUGUGUGUGUGUAUAUGGGAGCUGUUGGGCUUCCGGUGGACGACGAGGUGUUGGCAGGAAUUUUUCUCGGAUGCGAGAGGUUUAUUUUGUUUUUGGAGCUAUGGGCGAGAGGUCUACGAGCAGGUGAUUUCGGGGGAGAUUAUUGAGAGUCACGCGUUGGAGUUGACGCUGAUGGUGCUUUAGGGCGCCGUUAUGCCGCUCGUUUGUAUAUUCGGAUGAGUUCGAAGGAUUUUAAAAUAAAAAAAAAAAAAUUAUCCAGAUCAAAAUCCACACACGCACGAGCGAGCUAUCCAUCAGCCGAUCGCGCAGAGCGCGAGUCAUUACGCGAAAAACCAGAGCUACUCCUCUCGCUCGGCAGAUACAUAUCUAAACCGCCGCCCGCGCUCGCGCCGCGAGAGAUUUACGGCGACACGCGGCAAAACGAGACUCGACUCUCGCGCGGCCGAAAAAAGAGCGCCGACGAGACGCGCCAACGCCCUCGGCGAGAUUCAUAAUUCCAUAGCCUGCUCUCUCGUGUAUACCUCUAUACACGCGUAUGUAAAGUUAUAGAGGUAUAUAAAAUCUCGCGACGCGACGCAAAUCUCGACGCGUGUGGGUGCGGCGCGAGGCCAUUGUUAUAUGCCGCUCGGCGAGCGCGCGAGCGAGAAAGGGAGCAAAAAGCCGAAGACGCUUGUCGUUUCGAUAUAAGGCCGCGCGUAUUAUAUAUACGUAUAUCGCUGCUUCUUCUUCUGCUUCGUGUAUAUAUGUAUAUUCCAUUGUACGCAGAUACGCUGCGGAGGGAGGGAGAGGGCAGCCCCCAUUGUUUAUGCUAAACGCUCAUGGAUCAAAUUUAUGCAGGCCCUUUCUCGCCCUUCGUAAUUCUCUUAUAUUUCUGCGGAUGCGAUGUUUUUGUUUCUUCAUUGGUUUUUGGUGGUUGCACUUUUUACGUGAUUAUAAAACAAAAUUCGCAGAUAUUUAUACGGUAUAUUGUAUGCUCAGCUUAUUACUUUUCCCGAGGACACGCGUAAGAGUUUUAUCGCCACUCGAAGAAUCUCGCACAAGAAAUCAAGCGUUUUCAGCUCCACCUAUAUACUUAAAAUCGCACCAAAAGCAGCCAACAACAAUAGCAUAACCAACUUUAUACACACACUGCAAGUCGAGCCAAAUCCGCACUACAAAAGAAGAGAAAGGAGGUCCGCGCGCGCGAAAGGCGCAAAUCGGAAAGAAGAGAAAAACCGCGAGAGCUCCUUAUCGAGAUCAGAAGCCGAGAAGGAGAAUGGCCUGAAUCGCGAACUCGGGCGUUUCCGUUCGCCACUGCUCGCUUCGUGCAGCGUGUACGCAGCGCGGAGAACCGUUCGCGACUUUCUGCGCGCCGGGGGAACUAGGAUUCGACGCUCACGUUUUCUCGCGCGAGCAUAAUAUACUUGCACACACAGUGGGGUUGCAAGGCAUACACACAACGAUUCCUUGGAAUUUUCCUUCCUCAUCAAUUUUCCAACUGGAGAGGAUUGUCAAACUCGGUGUAUCAGCUGUUCACUUCAUACAGACGCCUGCCAGCGUCACCUCACAUUCCGACUCGUUCGCUAAUAAUCGACGAGUACUUAUACCGUGAAAAAUGUUCGUUAACCGUUGGAUGAAACUGUUGAAACACCGGCCAGCAAAUAACGUAGAGGAUGAUUCUUCCAUAACUCUGGAGGAUGCGAAAGCAUCUCGAAGCAACAGCGUCAACUCUGAGACGCUUAAAGACGAGAAAACGGCAAUGCACAGAGCCAUACGUGUUUUCAAGGGAAACACGAAAGUGGCGAAAAUGUUGCAAGACCUCGGCUUUGAAAAGAGUGCCAGCAAUUCCAAUAGGAAUCUUCGAGGGCCAGUAGACUCCGACAAAAAUUAAUAGUAUAAUUUAUUCUCUCAAUAUCUGAAAGAGUGAACAGUCACUGCGAUUAGAGGCAAAAUUGAGUCGCUCUUUGCGAAGAUUUAUCAUGAAGUGAUUUCUCACUCUUUCAGAUUUAGAGAGAACUGCAGAGAGACACUGUAACACUGGUGACUGAGGUUAUGAUAUGUAUUUAAUUUUAACUUUGUCUUUAGAAACUUUUCGCCCACAUCAUACUACGUAUAUUUUCUAUUAUUUAUUUUCAAAUACAUACUUUCAUACGCGAAGUCGCAUGAGUUUAUCUUAAUUUAUUUAUAUGAUCCGAACAAUUCCAUAUAAUCAAAUGCUUGAUCGUCCAGUUCCUCUUAGUAAAUAAUCAACAUUUACGUACUCUGUAUUGUAUAAGAAAACCGUUAAACGAAUCCCAUGGAUUAUUUGUUUUUAUUAAUAUUCACUAAUUUAUCUAUUUAUUUAUUACAGCCUACAAAGCUUUCCAUUGAUCUGUAUAUAAAACUUGGUCAUCAGUUUUUGCGCGGCGGCUCUAGAUAAAAAUGUACCGAUAUAUCUCAAUGUCGAGAAUACAACAGACCAAUGACCCUUAGUCUGCCAAGUUGCUAGACCCUUGCAAAGUGGUCUCGCUCUAUAAUUUAUCACAGUUAAUUAAUUACGGAUGAUAAUUCGCAAACAAUGUAUACAUUCGAAACAACUUAAUUUGUAAUUGCCAUUGAGUCUGUUAAUAUAAUUUUUGCACAAUAA